rnacentral:rRNA from 1 species
GGGUAACCUACCUAUAAGACUGGGAUAACUCGGGAAACCGGAGCUAAUACCGGAUAAUAUUUCGAACCGCAUGGUUCGAUAGUGAAAGGUGGUUUUGCUAUCACUUAUAGAUGGACCCGCGCCGUAUUAGCUAGUUGGUAAGGUAACGGCUUACCAAGGCGACGAUACGUAGCCGACCUGAGAGGGUGAUCGGCCACACUGGAACUGAGACACGGUCCAGACUCCUACGGGAGGCAGCAGUU